GCCCGGAUAGCUCAGUUGGCAGAGCGCUGUAUGAAACAUUACGGAGGUCGGUGGGUCGGAUCCACCUCCGGGCACCU
rnacentral:tRNA from 1 species